rnacentral:lncRNA from 1 species
CUCCCUUCCUUCAGGUAACAAUCUAAACAGACAGGAGGACUCAGCUGUUCCAGAACUGAGCUCGGCUCAUCCACAGCGCACAUCAAAGAGAAGCUGGGCGCGCACAGAGUCAGGCACAAGCAGGGAACAUUCCGAGCCGAGCUGGGUUCUCAGCCCCCAGGAUGAGCGGUCUCCGUUAACGUCCAGAGUCUGCUAGAAUUCCUGGCUUUCCCUCUAGCUCACAAACAGGAACAGAAAGUUUUCAUUGAACUAGACGGUGAUUAAUACAAUGUGGGUACAAGCUAAGACUGGAACGCCCUGGCUGCUUGCUGCGCCUCAUCCGAGGCGGUUCUUGGUUCCUAAGAAGUUUCCAGAGUUGUCUCUGCUGCUUUAUUUGAAAGCUACAAUGUAUACUAAUCCUUGCCAUGCAAGAUCAGCGACGCAUCACAAGUGAGGAUCAGUCACACGCUCUCUCUUCUCUAGCGGGUGAGAAGUGACAUGUUUCUUUGGAAGCGUCCCUUCUCAUGAACUUCACUAAGGAUGAGCUGCUGUGUUAAAAGGGGAUCGUGGAUUCCUUUCUACUGAAAUCAAUAAGAAUUUAAAAAUAAAAAGCAGUGCUGGAGAGAUGGCUUAGCCAUCUAGAGCUUAC